rnacentral:rRNA from 1 species
GUUAUAUGGUCAAGUGAAGAAGCGCAUACCAGGUGGCCAUUGGCCUUGGCUUGGCAGCAGGCGAUGAAAGACGUGGUAGCCUGCGAAAAGCUUCGGGGAGUCGGCAAACAGACUUU